UCUAGUCAUUCGCCACAGGGCCAAGAGAGUUCAAACAAAGGAGAGAGUCGAAAAUCAGAGUAAUCACGUCCAGGACUGUGAUAAUGUUGUGCAUCGACAGUAGAGGAAUGUUGCACACACACACACACACACACACACACACACACACACACACACACACACACACACACACACACACACACACACACACACACACACACACACACACACACACACACACACACACACACACACACACACACACACACACACACACUUCUGUGUAGCAAAUAGUGCAUUGCCUCUGCCUGUACCAAGUCACUCUUCUACACCAUAGGAAUAAGAACCAUCACAGUCCUGUCCUGGAGAGGGCACUCAUUCACUGUUGAGGAGCUCCAGUUACAUUUGAAACAUGUGGAGUGGGAUGCUGUACAAGCUUGGUGUGUUUAUGCACACAAUGCACACGAUUCAUUAUGAGUGUAAAUAAGCAUGUUUCCAUGUGCAGGCUAUACCAUCCAGCGAUCCACUUUGUCAGUGACUUAGGCCACACAAAUACAGUAAGAAACAUGGUGCUCAGGACUGAUUCUAUGACAGGCUAUUUGCCUCUGCUUAGUGACCAAUCCUCAAACAGCUGUCCUCCAGGUUACUAGACAGGUUAAAUGGCUGUCAAGAAGGGAGAUCUGCUAGCUACCACAAAGGAACGGAAACACUAUAAAACCCUUGUGUAAUGGCAAGAAUAGCAGGACCACCUAGUAAAUUACUGAACUACUUUACAAGCUAAUCCCCAGUCCACCUGACACCCUGUUCACCAACAUAUAUGACCUCAUCAUCCAUUAAUACAAAACCCUACAAAAACACGAUACACAGAAAAUAAGAAAUGUAUUAUGAGCUGCUAAAAUAGCCUGGUUCCCAUGCGCUCUUCCACAGUGCUGCAAAUCUGUGAAAACAGAGUAACAGAAGCUCUCUCUAUUUGCCAAGCCCAGUGUCACAAAGAUACGAUAGGGGUAGAGGAAGGGAGAGGGUGGGACAUGCACUUCUAAUGAAAACUCCAGGGCUCGCAUUUCGGCCGCAUGGCGCGGGAGGAAAAUGGGGACAGGUCGAGCAAACAGAGAGCGACGGCAGCCCAGAGUAUGGACCUGUCAAUCAUGAGGGCAAGGAGAGGGAGAGAUGAUUGAGCCCCUCAUACCCGGCAUAUGGAAAAGAUUCACCCCGGCAUUUCUGCAGCUUAUUGUACAAAUCACGAAAGUCGUUUCCCAGUUGGCCUUCUGCUGCUAAAAUGCUUAAGCCUCCAGGGCAGGAGGAGGAAGAAGUGAGAGGGGGAUGAGAAUUAGAGAGGAAGGAUAAGAGGAUGAGAGCUGGGCUUCAGUGAUAAUAAAACUUGAGCUCCAGAUCAGAGGUGGGUUCCGUCCCCGUGUCUGUCUGACCCUGUAUUUCAUCAGACUCAGCCAUCUGUGAUGCAGCGCAUUCUGCAAUUGACGAAGGGAGUGACUGAACGGGUGCUCAAAACGAGCACAGCAGGACCGCAGAGAGAAAAUGUGUUUUCUAUCAAGCACAAGAGGAAGGCAACGUACCAAAGCAGUGUAGCUAUGGCUACGGGGAGGAUGCGAGAAGAAGCCAAAAAAGGCACCAUAAACUUUUCAUUGUCUCAGGGCUGCAGGAGAGGCGCACAGCCAGAGAGGCGAGGAUGCUGUCACCGCUACAGCACCACUACCGCCCCCUACCGUGCUUUAUUGUGCAUCGCUACGAGGUCACUCCAGUUCAUCCAGAAAAACAGCUCUGUAUAGGAGUUCUAAUGAGGAGGACUCAAUGUCCACAAGCAAUCAAUCAAAACCAAAAUGAGAAUAUUUACGAUGGAGGGAGAGACUGAAAUCAGCCUUGGCUAGGGUCAAAUCCCUGGUCAUCAGGCCAUACCAACAGAGAGGGAGAGGGGGAGUGAAGGCUAGAUGGGUGUACCUCCGACCAGAACGAAAACCCCUGGUAUGUAUUGACCCCAUUGUACUAACUAUUUCCAUUCUUCCCUAAAGCCGGUUGUCUUUCUCUGACGCCUGACGUCUGAAUGGGCCCCUCACUCCCACAAUGCACCUCCCAGCCUACAGUAACACACCCAAGACAAAGAGGCUGGAUCUGCUUUAGAGGGGGAUGGUACUUGAUGCUGCUGUGGACCAUCACAAGUAUAUCAUUGUUGAUGAAGCGGUCUUCAACUUGGCCCUCAUCAGCCAACGGGCGACCGUCCAAGUGCUUGGACAACGUGGGGGAAACAUCUCCAUGUGCGCAGCCAUCUCUGAAGAUAGUGUUGUAGGAUAUAGGUCAUUUCUUGGAUCCAACAAUGCUGCACACUUCAUUGUGUUUCUCAAUGAAAUUGAGCAGGCCUGUCAAGGUGAAGGGGUCACCUAUGGUAUUGUGAAAGACAAUGUCAGGUUUCACCAUGCAGAGGUGGUUCUGGGCUCAUCCCAGAUUCAUGACCCUAUGCCUGCCCUCAUACUCUCUUUUUCAAACCUUUUGAGGAAUUAUUUUCAACAUGGAGGUGGAAGGUGUACGAUCGCCAUCCCCAUGAUUGUGCCCAACCACCUUCUGGCCAUGGAUGAGGCAUGAAACAACAUCAAUGCAGACCAAUGUCAAGCUUGGAUUCGCCAUGCCAAAAGGUUUUUCCCACGGUCCAAUGGGGAUAUUCAUGAACAAUGGGGAUAUUCAUGAACAAUGGGGAUAUUCAUGAACAAUGGGGAUAUUCAUGAACAAUGGGGAUAUUCAUGAACAAUGGGGAUAUUCAUGAACAAUGGGCAAAUUCAUGAACAAUGGGGAUAUUCAUGAACAAUGGGGAUAUUCACUGAUGUGGAUGAGCAUUUAUGGCCAAAUGCUCAAGACAGGCUUGAUGCAAAUGAAUGCCUGCUAAAUGUUAUGUUAUAUUUUCAUUCAUAUAAUUUGUCCCAUUACAUUUUAUUACAGACAGUACACUUUUUAAAAAUGUAUUUUACCUUUAUUUAACUAGGCAAGUCAGAACAAACUCAUAUUUUCAAUGACGGCCUAGGAACAGUGGGUCAACUGCCUGUUCAGGGGCAGAAUGACAGAUUUGUACCUUGUCAGCUCGGGGGUUUGAACAUGCAACCUUCCGGGUUACUAGUCCAACGUUCUAACCACUAGGUUACCCAGGGCGGCACGUUGCAAAUAUAUCAGAUUUGUUUGGUUGUUGUUGCAUGAAUGAUUGCGGAGGAUGUCUUCUUUGAUCACACAUUGGAUAAAUAUUAUGGAAAUUCUAGAUUUUCGGUCCAUUUGGUUGGGUAAUUGCCUAAUGUGAAAAAGGUAUAAUCUACUGUAAUUUACAGUACUGUAGCAAAUGACUUUCAGCACUUCUAAGGGCGAUUUGAAACUUUGCUAUUGUUUGCCAUUGGAUUAAAUGUUAGUUAAAACAACUACAUUGAAAAGAUAUCAUUAUGUUGUGUUUUGGUGAUUAAACCAAUGUUCUCAUUACAUUUCAUAAUAAACUUAUAUUUUGAAUUAAUGGUUGUGUGGUGAGAGAUGUUUACAGUCCAAAUGAAUGCAGA